rnacentral:rRNA from 1 species
UACGGAGGGUGCAAGCGUUGUUCGGAUUUACUGGGCGUAAAGCGCGCGCAGGUGGAUGAACAAGUCGGAAGUGAAAUCUUGAGGCUCAACCUCGAGGCUGCUCCCGAAACUGUUCGUCUAGGGACUGGUAGAGGCUGGUAGAAUUCCCGGUGUAGCGGUGGAAUGCGUAGAGAUCGGGAGGAACACCGGUGGCGAAGGCGGCGACCUGGGUAGAUACUGACGCUGAGGUGCGAAAGCGUGGGGAGCAAACAGG